CAGCCGCCGCGGGAAUACGUAGGUGGCAAGCGUUGUCCGGAAUUAUUGGGCGUAAAGCGCGCGCAGGCGGAUCAGUCAGUCUGUCUUAAAAGUUCGGGGCUUAACCCCGUGAUGGGAUGGAAACUGCUGAUCUAGAGUAUCGGAGAGGAAAGUGGAAUUCCUAGUGUAGCGGUGAAAUGCGUAGAUAUUAGGAAGAACACCAGUGGCGAAGGCGACUUCCUGGACGAAAACUGACGCUGAGGCGCGAAAGCCAGGGGAGCGAACGGGAUUAGAUACCCCAGUAGUCCCUGUCUCUUAUACA
rnacentral:rRNA from 1 species